rnacentral:rRNA from 1 species
UACGGAGGGUGCGAGCGUUGUCCGGAAUCACUGGGCGUAAAGGGUGCGUAGGCGGGUCUUUAAGUCAGGGGUGAAAUCCUGGAGCUCAACUCCAGAACUGCCUUUGAUACUGGCGAUCUUGAGUCCGGGAGAGGUGAGUGGAACUGCGAGUGUAGAGGUGAAAUUCGUAGAUAUUCGCAAGAACACCUGCGGCGAAGGCGGGUUGCUGGGCCGACACUGACGCUGAGGCGCGAAAGCUAGGGGAGCGAACGGG